AAAUAGUCUGGUGGCGAUAGCGAAGAGGCCACACCCGUUCCCAUGCCGAACACGGUCGUUAAGCUCUUCAGCGCCGAUGGUAGUUGGGGGCUUCCCCCUGUGAGAGUAGGACGUUGCCGGGC
rnacentral:rRNA from 1 species